rnacentral:lncRNA from 1 species
AUGAGUAUUGGAGCCCUCAUACUCAUAAGUUGUUUUCAAUGAUGGAGCUUCCAAAUCGACGAUCCACUCCGUUAAAUAUGAUCUAGAGUAUUUGAAACUUCUAGAAAAUAAAUUUCGUAAAUUUUCGAAAUUAUAAUAAAGUCCAUCAAGUGGGUAUAAAAUGAACGGUCAAAAUCGAACGACGUCCUAAAAAGGAUGAUCGGAUCCUUCAAUUCAAGAUCGGAGUUAUUGAUCUUUAUAUAUGUAUUGAAUAAAAUUUUUUAUCAAAUAUUCAACAAAUUUCGAUUCUUUUACACCGUUAAACUAGCAAGUAUCCCAUACCGGCCGUUAAAAAUUGUCAAAUUUGUGACCUCUUGAUCGUAAGGUAAAUGACGUCGAAAAAUUAUAAAAUUUGAUUUCUAGAAGUUUUAAAUGCUGUAAAUGACGUUUAACGGUGUGGAUCGUCGAUUCGGAAGAUCUAUCAUCGAAAACAACUUAUGAGUACGAAGGCGAUCGUACUCAUAAUAGUAUAGUAGCCGGACCCAUAUAUAUAUAUAUAUAUAU